UACAGGCAUUACUGUACAUCGCUUUGGAUAAAAGCAUCUGUUAAAUGGCACAUA
rfam:Salmo salar isolate Sally breed double haploid chromosome ssa25, whole genome shotgun sequence.